CGACCACAACGGGUGGAGCCUGCGGUUUAAUUUGGACUCAACGCCGGGCAGCUCACCGGAUAAGACAGCUGGAUGAUAGCCGGGCUGAAGACUCUGCUUGACUAGCUGAGAGGAGGUGCAUGGCCGUCGUCAGUUCGUACUGUGAAGCAUCCUGUUAAGUCAGGCAACGAGCGAGACCCACGCCAACAGUUGCCAGCAUGUCCUCCGGGGUGAUGGGGACACUGUUGGGACCGCCUCUGCUAAAGAGGAGGAAGGAAUGGGCAACGGUAGGUCAGCAUGCCCCGAAUUAUCCGGGCUACACGCGGGCUACAAUGGUCAGGACAAUGGGUAUCAACACCGAAAGGUGAAGGCAAUCUCCUAAACCUGUCCUUAGUUCGGAUUGUGGGCUGCAACUCGCCCACAUGAAGCUGGAAUCUGUAGUAAUCGCGUCUCAAAAUGGCGCGGUGAAUAUGUCCCUGCUCCUU
rnacentral:rRNA from 1 species